AAAUGACUUGUAACGUAAUACUAUAUAGGCUCUUUACAACUACACAAAGUUGUUAUAAACAGACAGCCCACUUACCCAUUUUUCAGAGUUUGAAUCUGUCGGCGCUAUG